UACGAAGGGGGCUAGCGUUGCUCGGAAUCACUGGGCUUAAAGGGCGCGUAGGCGGGCAUUCAAGUCUGUGGUGAAAUCCUCCAGCUCAACUGGAGAACUGCCUCGGAUACUGGGUGUCUCGAGGGUGGUAGGGGUAUGCGGAACUAUCGGUGGAGCGGUGAAAUGCGUUGAUAUCGAUAGGAACUCCGGUGGCGAAGGCGGCAUACUGGACCACUUCUGACGCUGAGGCGCGAAAGCCAGGGGAGCGAACGGG
rnacentral:rRNA from 1 species